rnacentral:miRNA from 1 species
AAAAGACGUAGAUCGUGGCGAGA